rnacentral:rRNA from 1 species
UACAGAGGUCUCAAGCGUUGUUCGGAUUCAUUGGGCGUAAAGGGUGUGUAGGUGGCGCCGUAAGUCGGGUGUGAAAUUUCGGAGCUUAGCUCCGAAACUGCAUUCGAUACUGCCGUGCUUGAGGACUGGAGAGGAGACUGGAAUUUACGGUGUAGCGGUGAAAUGCGUAGAUAUCGUAAGGAAGACCAGUGGCGAAGGCGGGUCUCUGGACAGUUCCUGACGCUGAGGCACGAAGGUCAGGGGAGCAAACGGG